rnacentral:rRNA from 1 species
ACGCUGGCGGCAGGCCUAACACAUGCAAGUCGAGCGGUAGAGAGAAGCUUGCUUCUCUUGAGAGCGGCGGACGGGUGAGUAAUGCCUAGGAAUCUGCCCGGUAGUGGGGGAUAACGUUCGGAAACGGACGCUAAUACCGCAUACGUCCUACGGGAGAAAGCAGGGGACCUUCGGGCCUUGCGCUAUCAGAUGAGCCUAGGUCGGAUUAGCUAGUUGGUGAGGUAAUGGCUCACCAAGGCGACGAUCCGUAACUGGUCUGAGAGGAUGAUCAGUCACACUGGAACUGAGACACGGUCCAGACUCCUACGGGAGGCAGCAGUGGGGAAUAUUGGACAAUGGGCGAAAGCCUGAUCCAGCCAUGCCGCGUGUGUGAAGAAGGUCUUCGGAUUGUAAAGCACUUUAAGUUGGGAGGAAGGGCAGUUACCUAAUACGUGAUUGUUUUGACGUUACCGACAGAAUAAGCACCGGCUAACUCUGUGCCAGCAGCCGCGGUAAUACAGAGGGUGCAAGCGUUAAUCGGAAUUACUGGGCGUAAAGCGCGCGUAGGUGGUUUGUUAAGUUGGAUGUGAAAUCCCCGGGCUCAACCUGGGAACUGCAUUCAAAACUGACUGACUAGAGUAUGGUAGAGGGUGGUGGAAUUUCCUGUGUAGCGGUGAAAUGCGUAGAUAUAGGAAGGAACACCAGUGGCGAAGGCGACCACCUGGACUGAUACUGACACUGAGGUGCGAAAGCGUGGGGAGCAAAC